rnacentral:rRNA from 1 species
UACGUAGGGUGCAAGCGUUAAUCGGAAUUACUGGGCGUAAAGCGUGCGCAGGCGGUUAUGUAAGACAGAUGUGAAAUGCCCGGGCUUAACCUGGGAACUGCAUUUGUGACUGCAUGGCUAGAGUGUGUCAGAGGGGGGUAGAAUUCCACGUGUAGCAGUGAAAAUGCGUAGAUAUGUGGAGGAAUACCGAUGGCGAAGGCAGCCCCCUGGGAUAACACUGACGCUC